rnacentral:rRNA from 1 species
ACAUGCUUACAACAUAGUGUUAUUGCACCAGAUCCCAUUAUAACUCUGCAGUUAAGCGUGCUUAGGCUAAAGUAGUACUGGGAUGGGUGACCUCUCGGGAAGUCCUAGUAUUUUACAUGCC